rnacentral:lncRNA from 1 species
UUGGUACGGCUUUCUCGCGGCCUAUUUUUGGCACACGGAGGACCCUCGCAAAUCCUCGCGGCAUUCCGAGACCGGCGGACGAAGUUGGCCAGCCCAACCCCCCAAGGCUAUAGCCCACCCGUUUGUGUGGCCUUUUUCCGCGGGAUGAACUUGGCGCCCCGGCCUUCGUGCGGUUAUUUUUGGGUGAGGCUUUGCCCGCGGCCUAUUUUUGGCACACGGAGGCGCCUCGCAAAGUCUCGCACCAUUCCGAGUCCGGCGGACGAAGUUGGCCAGCCCCAUCCCGCAUGGCUAUAGCCCACCCGUUUUUAAGGCCUUUUUCCGCUGGACGAAUUUGGCGCCCCGGCCUUCGGGUGGUUAUUUUUGGGCGCGGCUGUGCCCACGGCCUAUUUUUGGCACACGGAGGUGCCUCGCAAAUUCUUGCACAUUUCCGAGUCCGGCGGACAAAGUUGGCCAGCCCCACCGACCAAGGCUAUAGCCCACCCGUUUUUGUGGCCUUUUUCCGCAGGACGAGCUUGGCACCCCGGCCUUCGGGCGGUUAUUUUUGCGCGCGGCUUUGGACGUGGCCUAUUUUUGGCGCACGGAGGCCCCUCGGAAAGUCUCGCGGAAUUCCGAGUCCGGCGGGCGAAGUAGGCCAGCCCCAAACCCCAAGGUUAUAGCCCACCCAUUUUUGUGGCCUUUUUCCGCUGGACGAGCUUGGCGCCCCGGCCUUCGGGCGGUUAUUUUUGGGCGCGGCUUUGGACGCGGCCUAUUUUUGGCGCACGGAGGCCCCUCGGAAAGUCUCGCGGCAUUCCGAGUCCGGCGGGCGAAGUA